CUUACAUCUUGUGCACUUCUUGAGAAUCAGAUAGUUUUUAUUCGUUAAUUUACUACAUUAGAAGAAAGAGGACCGACUCAUGAAAGGGCUCCAACCAACGCCAAGAUGUGCAAGAUUUAACUCAUCCCACGAACGGUUCAAAGGUCGAGCCCCUCUCUAGCAAUCAAGGAGCAACUUUGGCUAACUAGCACCAAAAAGACAAUUCACUUGAUGAUUGCCUUUGGGAUUUGAACUCUAUGGAGAAGAAGCAUUGUUUCCUAUCAUAAUGUUGGUUUUGAUUGCCCGGGCAAAGGGAAGGUAUGCAGGAACAGGUUCCACUUUUAUUAGUUAAAGAAGAGAUUAAGCCCCGGUUUGUUUUCCAUUAUUCACUCAUUAAAAUAAAAAAAAUAUGACUGUUAUACAUCACGUCAAACCAUCAUAUUUGAAAAUCUAUCUCUUAUGUGGAACUUUUUCAUCCUCAUUUUCCUAUUAAUGUGACUCAAACGGGGCCUAAAUAACUUAUUUUGAUAAUAACAUCACUUAAAAAGGGAGAAAAAUAACCACCAAAUUAAAAUGAAUAUUUGCUUGUAUAAACUCAACAGAAGAAUCAGCAUUUCAUACUUAAAAAGGAGAAAUUAGCCUCUCUUUCAAUUUUUCAUAUAAAUCUAAUAAAAUGUCAUGCACGAAAAUCUAAGGAUAGAGAUAUUUGACAAAAUUUUAUUGACAAAAUAGUGUACUCACUCUUACAAAAUUAACGGACCCCACGUGAAUUUAAAAAACGUCGGCUUGUAAUCCCCAUCCCCAUUGUGAAUAGUGAGUAAG
rnacentral:lncRNA from 1 species